rnacentral:rRNA from 1 species
GCGACGUUUAUGCGUUGUUGGGUAGGGGAGCGUUCUGUAAGCCUGCGAAGGUGGCCUGUGAGGGUUGCUGGAGGUAUCAGAAGUGCGAAUGCUGACAUAAGUAACGAUAAAGCGGGUGAAAAGCCCGCUCGCCGGAAGACCAAGGGUUCCUGUCCAACGUUAAUCGGGGCAGGGUGAGUCGACCCCUAAGGCGAGGCCGAAAGGCGUAGUCGAUGGGAAACGGGUUAAUAUUCCCGUACUUGGUGUUACUGCGAAGGGGGGACGGAGAAGGCUAUGUUGGCCGGGCGACGGUUGUCCCGGUUUAAGCGUGUAGGCUGGUUUUCCAGGCAAAUCCGGAAAAUCAAGGCUGAGGCGUGACGACGAGGCACUACGGUGCUGAAGCAACAAAUGCCCUGCUUCCAGGAAAAGCCUCUAAGCAUCAGGUAACAUCAAAUCGUACCCCAAACCGACACAGGUGGUCAGGUAGAGAAUACCAAGGCGCUUGAGAGAACUCGGGUGAAGGAACUAGGCAAAAUGGUGCCGUAACUUCGGGAGAAGGCACGCUGACAUGUAGGUGAAGUGAUUUACUCAUGGAGCUGAAGUCAGUCGAAGAUACCAGCUGGCUGCAACUGUUUAUUAAAAACACAGCACUGUGCAAACACGAAAGUGGACGUAUACGGUGUGACGCCUGCCCGGUGCCGGAAGGUUAAUUGAUGGGGUCAGCGCAAGCGAAGCUCCUGAUCGAAGCCCCGGUAAACGGCGGCCGUAACUAUAACGGUCCUAAGGUAGCGAAAUUCCUUGUCGGGUAAGUUCCGACCUGCACGAAUGGCGUAAUGAUGGCCAGGCUGUCUCCACCCGAGACUCAGUGAAAUUGAACUCGCUGUGAAGAUGCAGUGUACCCGCGGCAAGACGGAAAGACCCCGUGAACCUUUACUAUAGCUUGACACUGAACAUUGAGCCUUGAUGUGUAGGAUAGGUGGGAGGCUUUGAAGUGUGGACGCCAGUCUGCAUGGAGCCGGCCUUGAAAUACCACCCUUUAAUGUUUGAUGUUCUAACGUGGACCCGUAAUCCGGGUUGCGGACAGUGUCUGGUGGGUAGUUUGACUGGGGCGGUCUCCUCCUAAAGAGUAACGGAGGAGCACGAAGGUUGGCUAAUCCUGGUCGGACAUCAGGAGGUUAGUGCAAUGGCAUAAGCCAGCUUGACUGCGAGCGUGACGGCGCGAGCAGGUGCGAAAGCAGGUCAUAGUGAUCCGGUGGUUCUGAAUGGAAGGGCCAUCGCUCAACGGAUAAAAGGUACUCCGGGGAUAACAGGCUGAUACCGCCCAAGAGUUCAUAUCGACGGCGGUGUUUGGCACCUCGAUGUCGGCUCAUCACAUCCUGGGGCUGAAGUAGGUCCCAAGGGUAUGGCUGUUCGCCAUUUAAAGUGGUACGCGAGCUGGGUUUAGAACGUCGUGAGACAGUUCGGUCCCUAUCUGCCGUGGGCGCUGGAGAACUGAGGGGGGCUGCUCCUAGUACGAGAGGACCGGAGUGGACGCAUCACUGGUGUUCGGGUUGUCAUGCCAAUGGCACUGCCCGGUAGCUAAAUGCGGAAGAGAUAAGUGCUGAAAGCAUCUAAGCACGAAACUUGCCCCGAGAUGAGUUCUCCCUGAGACUUUAGGUCUCCUGAAGGAACGUUGAAGACGACGACGUUGAUAGGCCGGGUGUGUAAGCGCAGCGAUGCGUUGAGCUAACCGGUACUAAUGAACCGUGAGGCUUAACCUUACAACGCCGAAG